rnacentral:rRNA from 1 species
UACGUAGGUGGCAAGCGUUGUCCGGAUUUAUUGGGUUUAAAGGGUGCGUAGGCGGUUCCUUAAGUCAGUGGUGAAAUACUUCAGCUCAACUGGAGAGGUGCCAUUGAUACUGGGGAACUUGAGUACUGAUGAGGUAGGCGGAAUGGACGGUGUAGCGGUGAAAUGCUUAGAUAUUCGGAAGAACACCAGUGGCGAAGGCGGCUCACUGGACUGGUAUUGACGCUGAGGUGCGAAAGCGUGGGGAGCAAACAGG